UCUGUCUCUGGGAUCUGGUGAGUCUCCUCUCUCUCUGGGAUCUGUAAACCCAGAUGCUACGCAUCCUCAGUCUCAUCUUCUGCUGAGCUCUGCUGCUUCCUUGAACUGUCCGGAGGAGUGAAUGUGUGCUAUGCAUUCCAGACCGGUGCCGGGAGAAGGCUGUCUCCCACCCAGAAGCACCAACCAAGGUCUCACCAUCCAAGGCAGGAGAGGACCUGCUGGGAAGGAAGCAAGCCUGGGCUGGCGUUGAAAGAGGCAGCUCCCCUCCCUGUGCCCAGUGCUGAGAGUGGUUGGGAGACCCUCUCUCUCCAUCCCGUCCCCCCGACUGAGCUCCCAUUCCUGGGGAUCUCUCAGCAACUCUCAGCAUCCUUAGCCAAGUACAGUUCCAGACUUUUUGGAGGAAGCCAGGACUCUUGGUUGUGGCCUGAUCCUGCUAUGAAGAUGCAGCUCCGGUUGGGUCCCCGGAUUUCCUAGCACCUCAUUAGCACAGGCAGAACUUGGCAGAAGACCAAAGGGUUCCUUCCAAUCUCUUAGAGACUUCCUGAGAGCACAGAUGGAUGAGCAAGACUCAGCCGGCCCUGG